AACGAACGCUGGCGGCGUGCCUUACACAUGCAAGUCGAGCGCGAAUGGGAGCAAUCCCUAGUAGAGCGGCGCACGGGUGCGUAACACGUGGGUAAUCUGCCUGGAAGACCGGGACAACCUGCCGAAAGGCUGGCUAAUAACGGAUAAGCUCACAGGGUCUUCGGACAUCGUGAGCAAAGGUGGCCUCUGUACACAAGCUAUCACUUCCAGAUGAGCACGCGGCCCAUCAGCUAGUUGGCGGGGUAACGGCCCACCAAGGCUACGACGGGUAGCUGGUCUGAGAGGACGAUCAGCCACACUGGAACUGAGACACGGUCCAGACUCCUACGGGAGGCAGCAGUGGGGAAUUUUGCACAAUGGGCGAAAGCCUGAUGCAGCAACGCCGCGUGUGUGAUGAAGGUCUUCGGAUUGUAAAGCACUUUCGACCGGGACGAACACCCCUUGGCUAACAUCCAGGGGCCUGACGGUACCGGGAGAAGAAGCACCGGCUAACUCUGUGCCAGCAGCCGCAGUAACAC
rnacentral:rRNA from 1 species